UACGGGGGGGGCAAGCGUUGUUCGGAAUUACUGGGCGUAAAGGGCUCGUAGGCGGCCAACUAAGUCAGACGUGAAAUCCCUCGGCUUAACCGGGGAACUGCGUCCGAUACUGGAUGGCUUGAGAUUGGGAGAGGGAUGCGGAAUUCCAGGUGUAGCGGUGAAAUGCGUAGAUAUCUGGAGGAACACCGGUGGCGAAGGCGGCAUCCUGGACCAACACUGACGCUGAUGAGCGAAAGCCAGGGGAGCAAACGGG
rnacentral:rRNA from 1 species